CCUACGGGGCGCAGCAGGCGCGAAAACUUUACAAUGCGAGCAAUCGUGAUAAGGGAACUCCGAGUGCCCGUAAAAUCGGGCUGUCCGCCAGUUUAAAUCACUGGUGAAGAAAGGGCCGGGCAAGACCGGUGCCAGCCGCCGCGGUAAUACCGGCGGCUCGAGUGGUGGCCACUAUUACUGGGCUUAAAGCGUUCGUAGCUGGCUUGUUAAGUCUCUGGGGAAAUCUUCCGGCUUAACCGGAAGGCGUCUCAGGGGUACUGGCAGGCUAGGGACUGGAAGAGGUGAGAGGUACUCCAGGGGUAGGAGUGAAAUCCUGUAAUCCUUGGGGGACCACCUGUGGCGAAGGCGUCUCACCAGGACGGCUCCGACAGUGAGGAACGAAAGCUGGGGGAGCAAACCGGAUUAGAUACCCGGGUAGUCCCAGCUGUAAACGAUGCGCGUUAGGUGUAUCGGUGACCACGAGUCACCGAGGUGCCGAAGAGAAAUCGUGAAACGCGCCGCCUGGGAAGUACGGGCGCAAGGCUGAAACU
rnacentral:rRNA from 1 species